rnacentral:rRNA from 1 species
GGCGUGUACUGCUUGGCUGGGCCUUACUUCUUGGUGAGCCGGCGUGCCCUUUAUUGGUGUGCGUCGGGGAACCAGGACUUUUACCUUGAGAAAAUUAGAGUGUUCAAAGCAGGCCUAUGCCUGAAUACAUUAGCAUGGAAUAAUAGAAUAGGACGUGCGGUUCUAUUUUGUUGGUUUCUAGAGUCGCCGUAAUGAUUAAUAGGGACAGUUGGGGGCAUUGGUAUUGAGUCGCUAGAGGUGAAAUUCUUGGAUUGACUCAAGACCGACUAUUGCGAAAGCAUUUGCCAAGGAUGUUUUCAUUAAUCAAGAACGAAGGUUAGGGGAUCGAAAACGAUCAGAUACCGUUGUAGUCUUAACAGUAAACUAUGCCGACUAGGGAUCGGAUGACCUCAAAAUUGAUGUGUCAUUCGGCACCUUACGAGAAAUCAAAGUCUUUGGGUUCUGGGGGGGAGUAUGGUCGCAAGGCUGAAACUUAAAGGAAUUGACGGAAGGGCACCACCAGGUGUGGAGCCCGCGGCUUAAUUUGACUCAACACGGGGAAACUCACCAGGUCCAGACAUAACUAGGAUUGACAGAUUGAUAGCUCUUUCAUGAUUUUAUGGGUGGUGGUGCAUGGCCGUUCUUAGUUGGUGGAGUGAUUUGUCUGGUUAAUUCCGAUAACGAACGAGACCUUAACCUGCUAAAUAGCCAGCCCGGCUUCGGCUGGUCUCUGGCUUCUUAGAGGGACUGUCAG